AACGAACGCUGGCGGCAGGCUUAACACAUGCAAGUCGAACGGGUGUAGCAAUACAUCAGUGGCAGACGGGUGAGUAACACGUGGGAACCUUCCUAGGGGUACGGAACAACUCAGGGAAACUUGAGCUAAUACCGUAUACGUCCGUGAGGAGAAAGAUUUAUCGCCCUUAGACGGGCCCGCGUCGGAUUAGCUAGUUGGUGGGGUAACGGCCUACCAAGGCGACGAUCCGUAGCUGAUCUUAGAGGAUGAUCAGCCACACUGGGACUGGGACACGGCCCAGACUCCUACGGGAGGCAGCAGUGGGGAAUCUUGGACAAUGGGCGCAAGCCUGAUCCAGCCAUGCCGCGUGAGUGAAGAAGGUCUUCGGAUUGUAAAGCUCUUUUGCCAGGGACGAUAAUGACGGUACCUGGAGAAUAAGCCCCGGCAAACUUCGUGCCAGCCGCCGCCGUAACAC
rnacentral:rRNA from 1 species